UACGUAGGGCGCAAGCAUUGUCCGGAAUUAUUGGGCGUAAAGAGCUCGUAGGCGGCUUGUCGCGUCGACCGUGAAAACUUGGGGCUCAACCCUAAGCCUGCGGUCGAUACGGGCAGGCUCGAGUUCGGUAGGGGAGACUGGAAUUCCUGGUGUAGCGGUGAAAUGCGCAGAUAUCAGGAGGAACACCGGUGGCGAAGGCGGGUCUCUGGGCCGAUACUGACGCUGAGGAGCGAAAGCGUGGGGAGCGAACAGG
rnacentral:rRNA from 1 species